GCUGUGAGCUCGAUGAGUAGGGCGGGACACGUGGUAUCCUGUCUGAAUAUGGGGGGACCAUCCUCCAAGGCUAAAUACUCCUGACUGACCGAUAGUGAACCAGUACCGUGAGGGAAAGGCGAAAAGAACCCCGGCGAGGGGAGUGAAAAAGAACCUGAAACCGUGUACGUACAAGCAGUGGGAGCACAGGUUUACCUGUGUGACUGCGUACCUUUUGUAUAAUGGGUCAGCGACUUAUAUUCUGUAGCAAGGUUAACCGUAUAGGGGAGCCGGAGGGAAACCGAGUCUUAAUUGGGCGUUAAGUUGCAGGGUAUAGACCCGAAACCCGGUGAUCUAGCCAUGGGCAGGUUGAAGGUUGGGUAACACUAACUGGAGGACCGAACCGACUAAUGUUGAAAAAUUAGCGGAUGACCUGUGGCUGGGGGUGAAAGGCCAAUCAAACCGGGAGAUAGCUGGUUCUCCCCGAAAGCUAUUUAGGUAGCGCCUCGUGAAUUCAUCUCCGGGGGUAGAGCACUGUUUCGGCUAGGGGGCCAUCCCGGCUUACCAACCCGAUGCAAACUGCGAAUACCGGAGAAUGUUAUCACGGGAGACACACGGCGGGUGCUAACGUCCGUCGUGAAGAGGGAAACAACCCAGACCGCCAGCUAAGGUCCCAAAGUCAUGGUUAAGUGGGAAACGAUGUGGGAAGGCCCAGACAGCCAGGAUGUUGGCUUAGAAGCAGCCAUCAUUUAAAGAAAGCGUAAUAGCUCACUGGUCGAGUCGGCCUGCGCGGAAGAUGUAACGGGGCUAAACCAUGCACCGAAGCUGCGGCAGCGACGCUUAUGCGUUGUUGGGUAGGGGAGCG
rnacentral:rRNA from 1 species